AAGUAGCCCUUCCGGAAACCUAGAGGGUCAGUUCUGCUUGCCCCCAACAUGCUGGCGGUAGGCACCCUGAAGUGGGAAGGAUGGAUGGACUAGGGCUGAGCCUGCAGGCGAAACAGCCGGUGACCAGAGACCUUGUGGUGUCCUGCCCUCUGGUACCAGCACGGACUCUAGAUGGAGUGCUUACACGAGAGCCGAUCCAGGAGAAAUUGAGGAGGAGAGCAUGAUCUGAGCAGAUACCUAGAAUUGGACACUCAGCCAAGUCACGGAGACGCCCCAGGGUUGGUUCCUUCUGGGGGUCUCUCUCUGCCGUGCCUUCACUGCCAGCCUCGGGUGAGGGGUUCCCCUUUACACCCCCUGACGCCUCCAUCACUCAUCCCAACUCCACUGGCUCGUGCUGUACCUGGCAGAGACCAACACCGAUCCCUUCAUUCACAAAUAAAUCCUGCGAUCCACGGACACGCUUCUGUUGAAUUUGUAGACGAUUUUCUCAGCAGAAUCCAAAUGAC